rnacentral:rRNA from 1 species
AUUUGUUUGAUUCAGGAGAGGAUGACUGGAAGGAAACUUGGGACAGGAACCAGGCGUAGUGGAUUGUGGUAUAUGGAUCGUGAUGUGUCUAGGUCUGGUGCUAGUCUUAUUUUGGCUGUACUAGUUGGAGUAAGUGAGACAAUGGCGAUGAUCCAUCACUGUCGCAUGGGGCAUAUGGCUUUUGAUAAGAUGAGUAAGAUGUUUCCUGAUGUAAUGCGUGGAGUAGACAAGAGUAAGCUUGUGUGUGAUGCAUGUGAAUAUGCAAAGCACACAAGAAUCUCAUAUUUGAGUAAGGGGCUAAGGAGUAUAUCCCCGUUUAUGCUGAUUCACUCUGAUGUGUGGACAUGUCCUGUUGUUUCUGUUAGUGGAAUGAAAUAUUUUGUGACAUUUAUAGACUGCCACACUCGCAUGACUUGGGUGUACCUCAUGCGACAUAAAGAUGAGGUAUUCCAAUGUUUUCAGGAGUUUUAUGCCUAUGUGCGAAACCAAUUCAAUGUGCAGGUGCAGGUGAUCAGAUCUGACAAUGGAACUGAAUAUGUAAACAAGCAAUUUGGGGGUUUCCUGUCAGCACAAGGCAUAAUGCACCAAACAUCAUGUCCAGAUACCCCUGCUCAGAAUGGUGUUGCAGAAAGGAAAAACCGACACAUUUUAGAAGUGGCUCGAUCACUUAUGUUCACCAUGAAUGUGCCAAAUUCUUGUGGAGUGAAGCUGUCAUGA